GGUGGCUCAGGGGUAGAGUGCUUGCUUUGCAUGCAUGAGACCCUGGGUUCGAUUCCUCAGCACCA
rnacentral:tRNA from 1 species